rnacentral:lncRNA from 1 species
GGCUUAUAGUUUCUUUUUGUUUGUUUUCCACAGGUUGAUACUGAAAAUGCACAGCUAAUUUUUAAGGUCAUCUUCCAGAUGUGAUAGAAGCAGGGAAAAUAACACUUAGCAGCAGCUACAUCUUCAGCUGUUGAAAGUGCUCACCAUGAGAAUCAUUACAGCCCGGAGCUCUUGCAUAUUGUGGCCAGUUUGGAUUCCUUUCGACUCAUCUUGACCUACUAGAGAACGAGAGAGGAGGAGAGAAAGAGACACAGCGAGAACACAUCUGUUCUAUGGAUAAAACAGAACCAGAGUUCAUGAUUCAUAGGAAAGUAUGCCUUGUUUUGGACUGCAGUCUCAGGCUGAACGUAUCUCUGUUGCUUCCAGCCUCAGAUGAGAGGUGAGAAUAUUAAAGCUGUGGUCUUCACAAAGUGCCUAUUAAUGAUUAUUCUUUU